AGCAAGGCAUUGAAUUGCCCUAAUCUCCAGGCUUCAGAGGAGGCUGGGAGCCCAGCCAACAUGAGGCGGCCGCUCUCCAUUGGCCUGGAGGAAGCAGGAGUUCACGGCCCGGCCUUAGCUCUCUCCCGUCCACCCCCCCACUUCUCUCUCUCCAACACAACCCCCCCCCAAAAGGGAGAGACCACCAGUUUUGCUUCCCUGACACAGGAAGGGAGGGCCAAAGCCCGCCGAUGCCCGGCUUCCCCCGUCUGAUCUCCCAGGAAUGAAGGAGGCGCCGGCGGCCCUGAUGAGAGAGGCAGUUUGGUUUGGUUCUGACUCACUGUCUGCAGCCGUUGGUGGAUAAGAAUCAGGCCACCCUGUACCUGCAGCCGAGGCGUGGCAGACACACAGGGUCAUACAGCGCACACCACACUAUGCCCUCUUUUCAUCCCGGGCAAGCUGACUGGCGGGAAGGGCCUUUUACACGCCGCUGGACGACGGCCGGAUUGGCAGUGCUUUCAGCAGGCGAUCUGGCAAUGAGUAUCAAGAAUAUUUUCAAAUUAUCACCUUUCGGCCCACUAACUCCAUCCCUAGGAAUCUGUCAUCAAAGAAAACUCACAUGCCUUCAAAAAUUUAUUUACAGAGACUUUCAUUUUGGUGUUAUUUACAAGCCAAAAUGAUCAACCACAUAAACGUACAAAGUGUA